rnacentral:rRNA from 1 species
GACGGAGGAUGCAAGUGUUAUCCGGAAUCAUCGGUGGCGUAAAGCGUCUGUAGGUGGUUUAAUAAGUCAACUGUUAAAUCUUGAGGCUCAACCUCAAAAUCGCAGUCGAAACUAUUAGGCUAGAGUAUAGUAGGGGUAAAGGGAAUUUCCAGUGGAGCGGUGAAAUGCGUAGAGAUUGGAAAGAACACCGAUGGCGAAGGCACUUUACUGGGCUAUUACUAACACUCAGAGACGAAAGCUAGGGUAGCAAAUGGG